rnacentral:rRNA from 1 species
CAUGUCUUUUUGCUUAUAAUAUAAAGUCUGACCUGCCCUAUGAAUAAGUUAAUUUUAAAUGGCUGCGGUACUCUGACCGUGCAAAGGUAGCAUAAUAAUUAGUUUUUUAAUUGGGAACUGGUAUGAAAGGUCGAACGAGAAAAAGACUGUCUCAAUUUAAUUUAAAUUAGAAUUUUAUCUUUAAGUAAAAAAGCUUAAAUAUUUUUAAAAGACGAGAAGACCCUAUAGAGUUUUAUAUAAUUUAGUAUUUUUGAAAGUUAAAGAAUUUUAGAUUCGAUUAUAUUAAAUUAUAUUUGGUUGGGGCAAUUAAAAAAUUAAAGUAAUUUUUUUUAAAUUAUACCAUUGAUAUAUGAUUAAGUGAUCCAUAUUUUAUGAUUAAAAGAUUAAAUUACCUUAGGGAUAACAGCGUAAUUUUUUUUAGAGUUCUUAUCGAAAAAAGAGUUUGCGACC